rnacentral:snRNA from 9 species
AUACCUACCUGGCGUCGGGAUACCAUGAUCAUGCAGGUAGUUCCCCCAGAGUGAGGCUGCUCCAUUGCACUGCGGAGUGGUAGACCCUUGCGAAUUGCGAUUAUUUUUAUAAUUUAUAAGUUUCACUUCUACCGCGUGUGACUUGCACACACACAAUUUUUUGUUCGACUGGCACAACUGUUUUCCGUUU